UGCCCAUGAUGUGAUGAUAAUCUUUGCUAUCCUUGAUGGUAAAUCCACAUGAUGAAUAUUAUCCACCAAGAUCUAUGAGGCC